CCUACGGGAGGCAGCAGUGAGGAAUAUUGGUCAAUGUGCGCGAGCCUGAACCAGCCAAGUAGCGUGAAGGAUGACUGCCCUACGGGUUGUAAACUCUUUUUAUAAAGGAAUAAAGUGAGGCACGUGUGUCUUUUUGCAUGUACUUUAUGAAUAAGGAUCGCCUAACUCCGGGCCAGCAGCCGCGGUAAUACGGAGGAUCCGAGCGUUAUCCGGAUUUAUUGGGUUUAAAGGGAGCGUAGAUGGGGUGUUAAGUCCGUUGUGAAAGUUUGCGGCUCAACCGUAAAAUUGCAAUUGAUACUGGCAGCCUUGAGUGCAGGUGAGGUAGGCGGAAUUCGUGGUGUAGCGGUGAAAUGCGUAGAUAUCACGAGGAACUCCGAUUGCGAAGGCAGCUUACUAAACUGCCACUGACGUUGAGGCUCGAAAGUGUGGGUAGCAAACAGGAUUAGAUACCCGAGUAGUC
rnacentral:rRNA from 1 species